UCCUACGGGGGGCAGCAGCGGGGGAUAUUGCACAAUGGGGGGAACCCUGAUGCAGCGACGCCGCGUGGGUGAAGGAGCGUUUCGGCGCGUAAAGCCCUAUCGGCAGGGAAGAAGAUGACGGUACCUGACCAAGAAGCCCCGGCUAACUACGUGCCAGCAGCCGCGGUAAUACGUAGGGGGCAAGCGUUAUCCGGAUUUACUGGGUGUAAAGGGGGCGCAGACGGCAAUGCAAGCCAGGAGUGAAAGCCCGGGGCCCAACCCCGGGACUGCUCUUGGAACUGCAUGGCUGGGAGAACGGAGGGGGG
rnacentral:rRNA from 1 species